GCCUGGGUGGCUCAGUCGGUUAAGUGUCUGACUUCGGCUCAGGUCGUGAUCUCGCGGUUCGUGGGUUCGAGCCCCGCGUCGGGCU
rnacentral:tRNA from 1 species